ACGCUGGCGGCAGGCCUAACACAUGCAAGUCGAGCGGUAGAGAGAAGCUUGCUUCUCUUGAGAGCGGCGGACGGGUGAGUAAUGCCUAGGAAUCUGCCUGGUAGUGGGGGAUAACGUUCGGAAACGGACGCUAAUACCGCAUACGUCCUACGGGAGAAAGCAGGGGACCUUCGGGCCUUGCGCUAUCAGAUGAGCCUAGGUCGGAUUAGCUAGUUGGUGAGGUAAUGGCUCACCAAGGCGACGAUCCGUAACUGGUCUGAGAGGAUGAUCAGUCACACCGGAACUGAGACACGGUCCAGACUCCUACGGGAGGCAGCAGUGGGGAAUAUUGGACAAUGGGCGAAAGCCUGAUCCAGCCAUGCCGCGUGUGUGAAGAAGGUCUUCGGAUUGUAAAGCACUUUAAGUUGGGAGGAAGGGCAGUUACCUAAUACGUGAUUGUUUUGACGUUACCGACAGAAUAAGCACCGGCUAACUCUGUGCCAGCAGCCGCGGUAUACAGAGGGUGCAAGCGUUAAUCGGAAUUACUGGGCGUAAAGCGCGCGUAGGUGGUUAGUUAAGUUGGAUGUGAAAUCCCCGGGCUCAACCUGGGAACUGCAUUCAAAACUGACUGACUAGAGUAUGGUAGAGGGUGGUGGAAUUUCCUGUGUAGCGGUGAAAUGCGUAGAUAUAGGAAGGAACACCAGUGGCGAAGGCGACCACCUGGACUAAUACUGACACUGAGGUGCGAAAGCGUGGGGAGCAAAC
rnacentral:rRNA from 1 species